GGGAAGCUGGACAAAGGAAUCGGCCGGCUGGAGGAGGGGGAGUUCAGUUUCGGUUUGGGGCUGGGUGAGGGAAUUCAGGGAAGCCUAUGCUGGGAUCCAAGUGCCCUGAACCCAAGAAGGACUCGAUUGAGGGGUCCUGACUGCCUGCAAGCUCUGCUGUAACCUGCAUUCCUGUUGUCCAACAAACCUUCUGUUUUACUGGCUGGCUGAGAGUCACUGUGGGUCCCAGGAAAAGGGGUGCAGGAGCGGACUCCCCCACACUACGUGACAGUCUGCAGUUGGGACU